rnacentral:rRNA from 1 species
GAUGAACGCUGACAGAAUGCUUAACACAUGCAAGUCGAUGGGGAAGUGGUGCUUGCACCCUGGUAACCAUGGCGGACGGGUGAGUAACGCGUAAGGAACUUACCUGCGGGACCGGGAUAACAGCAGGAAACUGCUGACAAGACCGGAUAAGGUCAUUAAGCUGCAUAGCUUAGUGAUGAAAGGAGACGCCUGCGGAGAGCCUUGCGUCCUAUUAGCUAGUUGGAGGGGUAACGGCCCACCAAGGCGAAGAUAGGUAGCCGGCCUGAGAGGGUGGACGGCCACAAGGGGACUGAGAUACGGCCCCUACUCCUACGGGAGGCAGCAGUGGGGAAUAUUGGACAAUGGGGGCAACCCUGAUCCAGCAAUUCUGUGUGCACGAAGACGGUUUUCGGAUUGUAAAGUGCUUUCAGCAGGGAAGAAGGAAGUGACGGUACCUGCAGAAGAAGCGACGGCUAAAUACGUG